rnacentral:tRNA from 1 species
AAAUAAAAAGUAAAACCUUACACUUAGCUUCGACCUGAGAAUAGACUAAUAAAAGUCUUUAUUUA